rnacentral:lncRNA from 1 species
AGAAGAAGGAAAUGGGCCCCUUCUCUCUUCCUCCAGAGUCACCAAGUGAUCCUGGGAUGAGGACCCCAAUGGAAGGCAUCUGAUAAGAUAAGUCUUAUAAAAUAUAUAGAUUUAUGAUAAUUAAGAGUGAGCUAACAGAUGAGAAUCCUAGUCAUUGGCCAAGCAGCAUUUGUACCUAAUAGAAGUCUCUGUAUAUUAUUUGGGACCCUAACUCGGUGGGCAGAACUCAGAUGGCUGGCAGAAAGCACCCACAUGGCAGUAGGGCUUGGGAGGCUUUUGCCAGAAAGAUUUAUUGUAACAUCUUUCUAUUCUUUUAUUCUCAACUUAUCCAGUGUAGACUUUUAACUUGAUGAACCUUUAUGCUGACUCGACCCUUGCACCACAUUCACUUUUUUUUCAGAUAGAGAUUUAAUCACAACCAGGAUCAGUAAAACUAAAAUAAGGUCAGAGUCCAUGCUUCUGGUGAGCAGUAGUAAUGGUAUCCCUUCACACAAAAAUGGUAGAAGAGGAGCCAGUCACUGCACUGAAUUCAGGAUCACAUGGAGGCUCUGUAGAGAAGAGAGCAAGAGGAAGCACCCUGCUUAUAUUCUGAGUCUGCCUGCUAUGUCACUUCCUGCCUGGAUCACAAGACUUCUUACUACAUUUCGAAGAAUUCUCCUCGACUCCUAGUCCCACCUAUCCUGCUUCCUCAUUGGCCGAACAGUGCUUUAUCCAACAGCCAAUAAGAUAAGCAUACACAGAAGGACACUCUCCAUCACUCAGCCAAUGAUGCUUGUUCACAGGUUGCAUGAAUGGAUUUCAAGUGUGAGAACUGACUCAGGCUCUGGGCUUUCAGCCCCUAGGACUAAACAGGAAGCCAUGGAAAUUGCUGUAGGCUUUUCAGAACAGUGUUUCCUCUGAUGGAAAUUAUUUUAAAUAUUAAGAAAUGUGCUUUCCAUAGGAAUGGGAGCCCAUCCCACAUGGAGGGAUACUCCCUGAGCCUAGACACAUGGGGAUGGGCCUAGGCCCUAUCCCAAAGGAUAUGACAGACUUUGAAGACCCAUAUGGAAG